GACGAGGGAUCCUAGCGUUGCUCGGAAUCAUUGGGCGUAAAGAGCGUGUAGGCGGCCAGGUAGGUCGGUUGUGAAAACUGGAGGCUCAACCUUCAGAGGUCGACCGAAACCAUCUGGCUAGAGUCCGGGAGAGGAGAGUGGAAUUCCUGGUGUAGCGGUGAAAUGCGCAGAUAUCAGGAGGAACACCGGUGGCGAAGGCGGUUCUCUGGGAAUAUCCUGACGCUGAGGAGCGAAAGUGUGGGGAGCGAACAGG
rnacentral:rRNA from 1 species